rnacentral:rRNA from 1 species
CCCUUAGAUGUCCUGGGCCGCACGCGCGCUACACUGAUGCAUGCAACGAGUUUAUAACCUUGGCCUGAAAGGUCUGGGUAAUCUUUUGAACGUGCAUCGUGAUAGGGAUAGAUUAUUGCAAUUGUUAAUCUUGAACGAGGAAUUCCUAGUAAACGCGAGUCAUCAGCUCGCAUUGAUUACGUCCCUGCCCUUUGUACACACCGCCCGUCGCACCUACCGAUUGAAUGGUUCGGUGAGCCAUUCGGACUUUCAUCAUGCUGGUUUCCAGUUUUGAUGAAGGAAAGUCUUGCGAACCUUAUCAUUUAGAGGAAGGAGAAGUCGUAACA